AUUGAACGCUGGCGGCAUGCUUUACACAUGCAAGUCGAACGGGGUGAAGGGGCAACUCUUCAUUCAGUGGCGAACGGGUGAGUAAUACAUCGGAACGUACCCCGUAGUGGGGGAUAACUCGGCGAAAGCCGUGCUAAUACCGCAUAUGCUCUACGGAGGAAAGCAGGGGACCGCAAGGCCUUGUGCUAUGGGAGCGGCCGAUGUCCGAUUAGCUAGUUGGUGAGGUAAGGCUCACCAAGGCGACGAUCGGUAGCUGGUCUGAGAGGAUGAUCAGCCACACUGGGACUGAGACACGGCCCAGACUCCUACGGGAGGCAGCAGUGGGGAAUCUUGCGCAAUGCGCGAAAGCGUGACGCAGCAACGCCGCGUGAGGGAAGACGGCCUGGUGU
rnacentral:rRNA from 1 species